AACGAACGCUGGCGGCAGGCCUAACACAUGCAAGUCGAGCGAGGACUUCGGUUCUAGCGGCGGACGGGUGAGUCACGCGUGGGAAUGUGCCCUUCUCUACGGAAUUGCCCUGGUAAACUGGGAGUAAUACCGUAUACGCCCUAUUGGGGAAAGAUUGUUCGGAGAAGGAUCAGCCCGCGUUGGAUUAGGUAGUGGGUGGGGUAAUGGCCUACCAAGCCGACGAUCCAUAGCUGGUUUGAGAGGAUGCUCAGCCACACUGGGACUGAGACACGGCCCAGACUCCUACGGGAGGCAGCAGUGGGGAAUCUUAGACAAGGGGGGCAACCCUGAUCUAGCCAGGCCGGGUGAGUGAUGAAGGCCGUAGGGUUGUAAAGCUCUUUAAGCUGGGAAGAUAAUGACGGUACCAGCAGAAGAAGCCCCGGCUAACUCCGUG
rnacentral:rRNA from 1 species